rnacentral:rRNA from 1 species
GACGAACGCUGGCGGCGUGCUUAACACAUGCAAGUCGAACGGAAAGGCCCUGCUUUUGUGGGGUUCUCGAGUGGCGAACGGGUGAGUAACACGUGAGUAACCUGCCCUUGACUUUGGGAUAACUUCACGAAACUGGGGCUAAUACCGGAUAGGAGCUCCUGCUGCAUGGUGGGGGUUGGAAAGUUUCGGCGGUUGGGGAUGGACUCGCGGCUUAUCAGCUUGCUGGUGGGGUAGUGGCUGACCAAGGCUGUGACGGGUAGCCGGCCUGGGAGGGUGGCCGGCCACCAUGGGACUGCGGUAGGGACCAGUCUCCUACGGGAGGCAGCAGUCGGGAGCAUUGCACAGUGAGCGCGAGCCUGAUGCGGCGGCGUCGCGUGCGGGAUGACGGCCUUCGGGUUGUGAACCGCUUUCGCCUGUGACGAAGCGUGAGUGACGGUACUGGGUAAAGAAGCACCGGCUAACUACGUG